UACGGAGGGUGCAAGCGUUAUCCGGAUUCACCGGGUUUAAAGGGUGCGUAGGUGGGCAGGUAAGUCAGUGGUGAAAUCUCCGGGCUUAACCCGGAAACUGCCAUUGAUACUAUUUGUCUUGAAUACCGUGGAGGUCAGCGGAAUAUGUCAUGUAGCGGUGAAACGCUUAGAUAUGACAUAGAACACCAAUUGCGAAGGCAGCUGGCUACACGAAUAUUGACACUGAUGCACGAAAGCGUGGGGAUCAAACAGG
rnacentral:rRNA from 1 species